UCAAACCCCCCACAACUGACA
rnacentral:piRNA from 1 species